ACGGCGAUUACCGGGACCAGGAUUACCGGGAGGGCGCCGAGGAGGAGCCGCGGGCCAGCACCAUCGUCAUGCUGCGCAUGCUGCCCCAGGCGGCCACCGAGAACGACAUCCGGGCACAGCUGCAGGCGCAGGGGGUGCAGCCCCGUGAGGUGCGGCUGAUGCGCAACAAAUCCUCAGGUGAGUCUCACCUGGGCCCCUCCCCUGCUCCCCUGGGCCCCUUCCCUGCUCCCCUGGGCCCCUCCCCUGCUCCCCUGGGCCCCUCCCCUGCUCACCUGGGCUCUCUUUAGGGUGGGGGUUGAGUCGCCCUGACAUCUGGGUCCCUUGGAGGGUGGAGGGUCCCAGCCCUGCCCAUGCCAGGGGCACCUGGGGGGGGGAGGGCUCCUGUUCCUUAGGGGCACCCAGGGAUGCUGGUUCCAGUUCUAGGGGCACCCAGGGGUGCCUGACCCCUCUUUAGGGGCACUCAGGGGUGCUGGUUCCAUCCUUAGGGGCACCCAGGGGUGUUAGCCUCAACUUUAGAAGCACCCAGGGGUGCUUCUGGCAGGCUUAGGGGGCACCCAGGGGUGCUGUACUGACCUGUGAGGGUACCAGGGCUGCUGAUCCAAUUUCUAGGGGCACCCAGGGGUGCUGAUCUUCUUUUUAGGAGCACCCAGGGGUGCCUGUGUCCUUCUCAGGAGCACCCAGGGGUGCUGGUCGCAUCCCCAGGGGCACCCAGGGGUGUCAGUUCCCUCCCUAAGGGCACCCAGGGGUGCCUGUCCUCUCUCUGCUGACACCCAGGGGUGUCAAUUCCCUCGCUAGGAGCACCCAGGGGUGCUGGUCCUGUCCCCAGGGGCACCCAGGGGUGCCAGUGUCAUCUUUAGGGGCACCCAGAGGUGCCAAUCCCUUCCAAGGGGCACCCAGGGGUGCCUGUCCCCUCCACUGGGGCAUACAGGGAUGUUUCUGCCAGGCUUAGGGGGCACCCAGGGGUGCUGGUCCCAUCUUUAGGGGCACCCAGGGGUGCUGCACCAGACUGGAAGGGCACUAUGGCCGCUGAUCCCAUUCCCAGGNNNNNNNNNNNNNNNNNNNNGUCCCCUCCCUAGGGACACCCAGGGGUGUCUGUCGCCUCCCCAGGAGCACCCAGGGGUGCCUGUCCCCUCCCCAGGAGCACCCAGGGGUGCUCAUCAUUUCCACAGGGGCACCCAGGGGUGCCAGGUUUGUCUUUAGGGAGCACCCAGGGGUGCCCAUCGUGUCUGUAGAAACACCCAGGACUGCCUGUCCCCUCCCUAGGGGCACCCAGGGGUGCCAGUCUCA
rnacentral:lncRNA from 1 species